rnacentral:rRNA from 1 species
UGAACCUACAUGUGUAGGAUAGGUGGGAGGCUUUGAAGACGUGACGCCAGUUGCGUUGGAGCCGUCCUUGAAAUACCACCCUUGUAUGUUUGAUGUUCUAACUUAGCCCCAUUAUCUGGGGUGAGGACAGUGCCUGGUGGGUAGUUUGACUGGGGCGGUCUCCUCCCAAAGAGUAACGGAGGAGCACGAAGGUGGGCUAAUCACGGUUGGACAUCGUGAGGUUAGUG